GGAUCGUUACUAUGGUUAUGAGAGACGUCCUCCACCCCCAGAGUAUGACAGAUAUGAGCGCCCUAGGACUGCCGCCUCUGACCCCUACUACCGGGAGCGGGCAGCCAUUGGCUCUCGUCCUCCCCCAGACUACUACAGCAGAAGGUAAUUAUCCAGACCCAAGAGGAGAAGGACCUCCACCACCCCCUAGAUCUUAUGAUGAUGACUACUCUGCAAAUGGUUACUACGAUUCCUACAAGGAACCUCCCCCUCCAGCCCCGCCCCAGGAAUCUCUGGGAUCAGGAUCAUAUUACGACAGAUUCUACAAAAAACCGCCACCCUCCCAGCAACCUUCGCGACCACCCCCACCCCCAGGAACCAAUCAGGCGGAACCUUUAUAUUUCUGAAUCUGAAAAAAAAUACACAUCACCACCUACCAAAAUGCAUUGUUGAUUAUUUCUUUAUUUUUGUAAAAUUUGUCAAGAAAUCAUGUUGCCAUUUGUUCAGUUGACUUUCAUCAUAAGUAGUCUAGGGAUAUCAUGGACAAGAAACUCGGAUUUUUCUUGGAAAUGUCUUAUAAGUUUUUAUGUUGUGAAAAAGUUUGUAUUUUCAUUUGUGUCAUAUUCAUCUUUAUAGUUUUAAUCUCCUUUUCUUUUUCAUUUGCCAAAUAUUUUAUAGGUAUUUCAUGUAAUCUUCAUUAUACUGUAGAUUAUUUCAUGCGAAGCAUAAUGACUCAUACAUGUUUGGUGUGAAAGAACAGUGCUGCAAAGUAGAUCAAAUAUAAAUUCGAGCACUCAGAACAAAAGGAUCAUGACAUAUCAUAAAUACUAAGCUGGCUUUUUUUGUAGAAUUUUAAUGACCAUCAACAUCUCAUCCUUGUUAUAAUUCUCAACAUUAAUGAUGGAGUAUUCAAACUUGUGUUACCCUUUUAUUUUUUACAAGAAGAAAGUUAAUAAACUAUGCUGUAUUGU
rnacentral:misc_RNA from 1 species